CCUCUAUAGUACAGCUAUAGAACCGGGUCAGUUUCAGUAUUAACUCCUCAGCAGCUCUUCCUUGUGCAACUUGACGUCUACGCAAGCUAUCAGGAAGAGAGCUAUUACUGAGAGCACAGCUGAGAACAUUGAUGGUGGAGCAUAUAGGACCCACCAAAACACACCAGUGAGGAGGAGAGGAAGACAAGAGCGUAAACAUCAACAAAACAACCAAAAGGAAACAGAUGGGAGCAGGCAGGUCAAAAGCACAGGAUCUGACUUAUACCGACCCUGGCAUACUCAAGAAUGCACAUUGUUCCUCCUCAUUAAAGACUGUUGUGAACAAAGCAGGACACUCCCCGCCACCACUGCAAUGUCCACCGUGUCCAGCAGCUCAUCCACUUUGUGAGCAGUGCCUUUACCCGUGCUUAAGCAAAGGCACCGCCACCUGCACCAACAACUCCUGCCAUCUUGUCGCCACACUGCUCUCCUGUGAUCUAGUCACAGACCCUAAAAGCCAAGUAAAAGGCUGCCCAGUAUUUCGUGCCUGCCCCAAGUGCCACAAUCUGAUGAUGCACACGGCUGGAUGCAAGUAUGUUGCUUGUACACAGUGCAGGCACGCAUUCUGUUUUAUAUGCCUGCAGAAUAAGGCUCAGUGUAUAGGGGACAUUGACCACUGGUCCCUGACCUGCUCCAAGCCAACAGCACCAAGACAGAGAUUCCAAACGUGAGGAGCUGGACUCAGCACAUCAGCGAUCAGUCCAUAAAAAGACAAGUUCAAAACUGAUAGACAGCUACACAUUUGAUACUGAUUUUUGUAAUCACUGUUGUUUUUAAAUUAUAUAAUAAGCAUUCACUCCACCAUUCAAAUCAUUGAAAUCAGUUGUUCCAAUCUCAUCCAUGGCCAUUGGUGUAUAGUCCAAGCACCUAGGCACACAAAAAUUUCUGCAUGGUUCCAUGAUAGGAUGUCACCCGUGCAACAAUGUCAAAUUGCUACACUACUUACUCUUCCACGGUCAACGGUCAGUCUGUUAAACAAAGUGGAAGUGAUGGGAAAGGACAGCAACUCAGCUCAACUCAUGAGAACAGUACAUGACUUUCUGUCAUGUGCAAAAGAUACACGUUUGGUGGAGGGGGGUUAUGGUGUGGGUAAAUAUAUUUUACAGGAGUUGAGCUACAGAUUAAGAAUGGGAAGUUCAUACAUAUGCACGUGAGUGCAGGCAAGUGGAUCCUUUUUUUUGGCAAUAUAGAGCAUUAAAAAUGAAGGCACGUUUCUUUUGCUGUCCCUCUACUCUGGGUUAUUGGUCAUUUUGUUAUGUAUUUGGGUGUAGGAGCCAUGUUUGAGAAGUGAAGUGCAUGUGUUUAACCGCUAGGGAGAGUAUGUGUGCUUCAGUUGCAGUUAAAUAACUCAUACCAGUUCUCUAGACAGUUGGGUGGAGGUGAUGCAGUUUUCUGACCGAUCGACCAGUUAAAACCUCAACUAAUAGACAUGUACGCCUUGGAUUAUUCAUAUUUGAC
rnacentral:lncRNA from 1 species